GAAAACGUUGGCUGUACCGAACAAAAUGAAGCCUACCGAACACUAAUCUGUCCGUCGCGAUCCCCUCUCCGCCGAUUCAAGUCUCUCGGCGCUGUCGCCGGCGCCGCCGUUCUCUCCCAGCCCCGGCGCUCCUCCCUUCCUCCUUCUCCUCUUACAUCCACCCCAAUUCCACUCGCUCCCGAGCCCCCGCAACAGUGCGACCGGCGGCGCCCACAACUUGCCGACGAGGAGAUGCGGCGCCCCAAGAACCACGCCAACGCGGCAGCUUGUUCGACGGCGCGCGCGUGCACCUGUAGGAAGGUGCGCGGCGCUCCGUCGAACUCGCUGCUCGCGGUCGACGGGCUGGUGCUGCACGUCGGCGAGGUGGACGCGGCGGCGCAGCUCCGGGGAGUUUUCUCCGGUCGGUUCCCUCGCCGUGCCCCUGGCCGCACCUUUCCCCCUCCCGUCCAUGCGGGUGCGGCGCCCUCGGCCAGGAUGUGGCUACCUUCCGCCACCCACCCACUCCACUCCCGAUGACCAACCGUGCUGCCUUCGCCUCGCCCCGCCCUGCUCUCGUACAUCGCCGUCCGGAGCUGCAGGAGGGGCAGUGAGGCGUUGGAGCAGUAGGCCCGUCGGGCAGGCCGGACCUCCUCGUCCAAAGUUUGAAUUUUCUUGCUUUGUUCUGCAGCAUUGGCUUCCAAAUAGAUAGAAUCGAAAAAAAUCUGUACGAGACGCUUUCCAAAUUAUGCAGAGUCCAACUUGUUGUGCAGCGAUUGUUAGUUUGGUUAAUUAUUUGGGAUGUGCUUUGUUGAGCACUGCGUAAUAUUUCUGAUGCAUGGUACCAGUUCAGAAUUUCAGUGCCUUACCAUCACUUGUGUGUCAACUCAAAUCGAUUCCUUGUGAAUGUAUCUACAUGGUUGUUCAAGGAGGAGUGCUUGUUGUCCUAGAUAUUACCUACAUUAGUAUUUGUUCUUCACUGAUAUAGGGCAGCAUAGUACGUCUACUGGGAGUGUUUGCUCUGCGAUAAUGUGGUACAUCUAAUAGCAUUUUAACAUGAUGCCACCAAUUUCGGUCGAAGAAUAUGCGAGAAGCAAGCAAUCUGAUUUGUGAUGAUCUGGUUUAUGAAUUUGAUCUAGUCGCUUUUGUGUGCUUCAGAUUAGUAAUAUUAGUCAUGUAAUCUUUGUGCUAGCAAACUGUUGGUAUCUGCACCUAAGUAGUUAACUAAAUCCAAGUGUUUAAUACUAGUUUCCUGACCGGUUGCUGUAAUUAGUUACUAGCUGAAAUAGUUUUUAUGUAGGUGGACAGUGUAGUUCUAUCAGCUGCUAGUGUUCUAGCUUUAGUAUGAAAGGAGGUAGCAUUUGUAGCUAGAUAAUUUUAUCAUGUUACAGAGUUCACUUGUGCUAUUUGAUAUCCUAUCUUUCUUGAGCAGCCGGAGGAGUGGACGGGUUGGACAAGUCGGUGAACAAGUUUCCGGAGCACUAUGCCUGCCAGUCCAGCACCUUCUUUUGCUCUGUGCUGGACCUCGCCGACAUCGAUAGUCAAAGGUGCCUAUUUUGGGCUUUGCGUUUGUGACCGGACAUGUUAAUACGAGUGUCCAGGUUAUGUCGAUGGCUGGCCGGAUGUGCUCGCCUCCGGCUUCUGAGCUUCGUUCUGCGGCGGUAUAUGCCUUUAAUUUGGAGUAAGUGUUUGUUGUAGAAUCCGGGUGAGCUAGAGAAGCUUGCUGUAAUUGUACGUUUGCAUUUGUUCUUAGAUGAACUUAAUUGUGGUGGAGUGUAUCAUGUAUUGAAAUAUCUCUAGAGUGUUGCUGCUUUAUGCAUUUAAUUAUAUUUUGUGGUGUUUGAUCCUGAAACUUUGUAAGUAUAAUUGAAAAAUGCUAGGUUGCUCAUGUGACGGGUAAAAGAA